CCAGACUCCUACGGGAGGCAGCAGUGGGGAAUAUUGCACAAUGGGGGAAACCCUGAUGCAGCGACGCCGCGUGAGUGAAGAAGUAUUUCGGUAUGUAAAGCUCUAUCAGCAGGGAAGAUAAUGACGGUACCUGAGUAAGAAGCCCCGGCUAACUACGUGCCAGCAGCCGCGGUAAUACGUAGGGGGCAAGCGUUAUCCGGAUUUACUGGGUGUAAAGGGAGCGUAGACGGCAUGGCAAGUCUGAAGUGAAAGCCCGGGGCUCAACCGCGGGACUGCUUUGGAAACUGUUUUGCUGGAGUAUGGGAGGGGUAAGCGGAAUUCCUGGUGUAGCGGUGAAAUGCGUAGAUAUCAGGAGGAACACCGGUGGCGAAGGCGGCUUACUGGACCAUAACUGACGUUGAGGCUCGAAAGCGUGGGGAGCGAACAGGAUUAGAUACCCCGGUAAAC
rnacentral:rRNA from 1 species